rnacentral:tRNA from 1 species
GGGGCUGUAGCUCAGUGGUAGAGCACUUGCCUUGCAUGCAGGAGACCUGGGUUUGAUCCCCAGCACCA